rnacentral:rRNA from 1 species
AGGGGUGAAAGCUGGGGGAGCAAACGGGAUAGAUACCCCGGUAGUCCCAGCUGUAAACGAUGCGGGCUAGGUGUCGGGUGGGCUACGGGCUCACCCGGUGCCGAAGGGAAACCAUUAAGCCCGCCGCCUGGGGAGUACGGCCGCAAGGCUGAAACUUAAAGGAAUUGGCGGGGGAGCACCACAAGGGGUGGACGUUGCGGCUUAAUUGGAGUCAACGCCGGAAAGAGGGGGUUAGCCAACCCCUCCCGGAGACCUUACCGGGGGCGACGGCAGGAUGAUGGACAGGUUGAAGGCCUUUCCGGACGAGCCGAGAGGAGGUGCAUGGCCGUCGCCGGUGCGUGCCGUGAGGUGUCCUGUUAAUUCAGGCAACGGACGAGACCCCCGCCCCCAGUUGCCAUCGGGCCCGAGAGGGCGCCGGGCACUCUGGGGGGACUGCCGCCGAAAGGCGGAGGAGGGAGGGGGCUACGGCAGGUCAGUAUGCCCCGAAUCCCCCGGGCCGCACGCGACGUUCAAUGGCCGGGACAGAGGGUUGCGACCCCGAAAGGGGGAGCCAAUCCCUAAACCCGGCCGUAGUUGGGAUCGAGGGUUGCAACUCGCCCUCGUGAACGAGGAAUCCCUAGUAACCGCGCGUUAAACCGCGCGGUGAUACGUCCUGCUCCUUGCACACACCGC